UACAGAGGUCCCAAGCGUUGUUCGGAUUCACUGGGCGUAAAGGGUGCGCAGGUGGCUUGGUAAGUUUGAUGUGAAAGCUCAGGGCUCAACCCUGAAAUGGCAUUGAAUACUACUGGGCUGGAGGUUUGGAGGGGGGACUGGAAUUCUCGGUGUAGCAGUGAAAUGCGUAGAUAUCGAGUGGAACACCAGUGGCGAAGGCGAGUCCCUGGACAAUUCCUGACACUGAGGCACGAAAGCUAGGGGAGCAGACAGG
rnacentral:misc_RNA from 1 species